ACCUUUAUUUUUUUUUCUUCUUCACAACUUUAUGUCUUAGGUAGAAGAUACGGCGGAGUGGUACUAAAAUUGCAUCCUUUAAAUAGAUGAAAAAUUAAGUUGCCACUCAAAUGAAUGGAACUUCGGGCUUUUCAAAACCACCGCCAGGGAAAUGACAUGAAAACAAUUUUACUAUCCCGAAAUUUUCUUUUUUUCAGCUUCUGCACUGAUAGCAUAAUCGUUUCCAAAACAAACUGUAAACUAAAUUUUCAUAAAAGCAGUAAAUUUUCAAACUUGGAGAUAUCGGGGUAGGGUUACCGUUAUUGCAGUUCAAAUAACCAUUGCUAUUAUUUAAUAUGUAUAAAAAAACCAUGUAGUAAUAGACUCGUGUGCAAAGUACACUUCAGCUGGGUUUGAGGUGCAAGGUUG